CAUCUCUUAGCUUAGCAUCUCUAAACAUCUUUCUGUCUGCAUCUUCAAGUGUUUCAGUCUGUGUCAGCUCCCUGAGCUCCUUCUGUCUGUGAUCUCUCUUAAAGGACUCCAGUGAUCUAGUUAAGGCCCACCUGGAACGGACGGGGUCACAUCUCUACGGAAAUAAUUUAAUCAAAGGUCUUACCUACAGUUGGGUGGGUCACAUCUCCAGGGAAACAACCUGAUAAAAUUCCCACCCUAAUCAAAGGACUAAUAAGUCUGCCCCCACAAGAUUGCAUUAAAGAACAUGGCUUUUGUGGGGUACAUAAUAGAUUCAAACCAGCACAGAGGAGAUAGGGAGAAGUAAGAACGGGAGGGGAAGAGAGAAAUAGGGUGAAGAACAAGCAAGAAGGCAGAAGGUUGUGUGAUUUCCACCCUCCUUGGGACCCCCGAAAUAUCACGCCCUGACAAAGUUGUGGGGAGGAGCAAAGAGUCAUCAUCUUAAGGUUCCCCUGGAUGUGGAGUGGGGGAAAGAUUGAAGUCACUACUCUCCUUCAGAGGAAAAGAAAAGCAACAGGACAAUUCAGAGCCAGACGGCAUUUCCCAGUGAUGGAUUGAUGGAGCUCCCACAAUCACUCUUUUUCUCCCCAUCCGUGAAGCUGGAAGCAGAGGACUCCGAAAGCCUGGAGGACGGCAGAGCGAGCAGAUGACAGGACUCCUGAGUCACUGCUUGGAAGACAGUUACUCAGGAGGGAUGCCUGACCAGGAAAGCCCACGUCAGACUAUUUCAAGGGGAGAAGAGAAGACAGCAGUGUGAUGACAGAGCAGAGACUGAAGUGCUGCAGCCGCAAGCCAAGGAGUGCCGAGGAACACCAAGGAUUGCCGAUAACUGCCAGAAGCUAGGAAGAAGCAAGGAAGGAUUCUCCUGUACAGGUUUCAGGGGAAACAUGGCCCUGCUGACAUUUUGAUUUCCUUCUUCUGGCCUCCCAAACUGGAAGACAAUAAAUUUCUGUUGUUUUAAACCACCGACUUUGUGGUUAUUAUGGAAGUCCUAGGAAACAAAGACAGUGCAGUACAUUUGUUACAGUUGAUGAACCAAUAUUGAUACAUUAUUAUCUGAAAUCUAUAGUUUACAUUGGAGUUUACUCUCUGUCUUAUGAGGUUCUAUGAGUUUUGUCAAAUGCAUAAGUUUAUGUAUCCACCAUUACAGUAUCAUACAGAAGUUUUGUUGCCCUAAAAUUCUGGGCUUCACCCAUUCAUCCCUCCACCUCUCUACCCCCCAAACCCUUGACAACCACUUGUGUCUUUGUCUCCACAGUUUUGCCUUUUCCUGUAUAGUCAUAUUGUUGGAAUCAUACAGUAUGGAGCCUUUUCAGACUGGCUUCUUUCACUUGCAGUAUGUAAAUAAGUUUCUUCCAUGUCUCUUCUUGGGUUGAGAGCUCAUUUCUUUGUAUGGCUGAACAGUACUCCAUUGUAUGGAUAUACUGCAGUUUGUUUAUCCAUUCACCUUUCCAAGGACAUCUUGGUUGCUUCCAAUUUUUGGCAAUUCUGAAUAAAG